rnacentral:rRNA from 1 species
UAGUAACUUGAACCGCAUGGUUCAAGGAUGAAAGACGGUUUCGGCUGUCACUUACAGAUGGACCCGCGGCGCAUUAGCUAGUUGGUGGGGUAAUGGCUCACCAAGGCGACGAUGCGUAGCCGACCUGAGAGGGUGAUCGGCCACACUGGGACUGAGACACGGCCCAGACUCCUACGGGAGGCAGCAGUAGGGAAUCUUCCGCAAUGGACGAAAGUCUGACGGAGCAACGCCGCGUGAGUGAUGAAGGUUUUCGGAUCGUAAAGCUCUGUUGUUAGGGAAGAACAAGUGCGAGAGUAACUGCUCGCACCUUGACGGUACCUAACCAGAAAGCCACGGCUAACUACGUGCCAGCAGCCGCGGUAAUACGUAGGUGGCAAGCGUUGUCCGGAAUUAUUGGGCGUAAAGGGCUCGCAGGCGGUUUCUUAAGUCUGAUGUGAAAGCCCCCGGCUCAACCGGGGAGGGUCAUUGGAAACUGGGAAACUUGAGUGCAGAAGAGGAGAGUGGAAUUCCACGUGUAGCGGUGAAAUGCGUAGAGAUGUGGAGGAACACCAGUGGCGAAGGCGACUCUCUGGUCUGUAACUGACGCUGAGGAGCGAAAGCGUGGGGAGCGAACAGGAUUAGAUACCCUGGUAGUCCACGCCGUAAACGAUGAGUGCUAAGUGUUAGGGGGUUUCCGCCCCUUAGUGCUGCAGCUAACGCAUUAAGCACUCCGCCUGGGGAGUACGGUCGCAAGACUGAAACUCAAAGGAAUUGACGGGGGCCCGCACAAGCGGUGGAGCAUGUGGUUUAAUUCGAAGCAACGCGAAGAACCUUACCAGGUCUUGACAUCCUCUGACAACCCUAGAGAUAGGGCUUUCCCUUCGGGGACAGAGUGACAGGUGGUGCAUGGUUGUCGUCAGCUCGUGUCGUGAGAUGUUGGGUUAAGUCCCGCAACGAGCGCAACCCUUGAUCUUAGUUGCCAGCAUUUAGUUGGGCACUCUAAGGUGACUGCCGGUGACAAACCGGAGGAAGGUGGGGAUGACGUCAAAUCAUCAUGCCCCUUAUGACCUGGGCUACACACGUGCUACAAUGGACAGAACAAAGGGCUGCGAGACCGCAAGGUUUAGCCAAUCCCAUAAAUCUGUUCUCAGUUCGGAUCGCAGUCUGCAACUCGACUGCGUGAAGCUGGAAUCGCUAGUAAUCUCGGAUCAGCAAGCCGCGGUGAAUACGUUCCCGGGCC